AUUGAACGCUGGCGGCAGGCCUAACACAUGCAAGUCGAACGAGUGGCGGACGGGUGAGUAAUGUCUGGGAAACUGCCUGAUGGAGGGGGAUAACUACUGGGAACGGUAGCUAAUACCGCAUACCAUCAGAUGUGCCCAGGUGGGAUUAGCUUUUUGGUGGGGUAACGGCUCACCAAGGCGACGAUCCCUAGCUGGUCUGAGAGGAUGACCAGCCACAUGGGACCGGAGACACGGUCCAGACUCCUACGGUAGGAAGCAGGGGGGAAUAUUGGACAAUGGGCGCAAGCCGGAUGCAGCCCGGCCGCGUGUAUGAAGAAGGCCUUCGGGUUGUAAAGUACUUUCAGCGGGGAGGCGUUACCCGAAGAAGAAGCACCGGCUAACUCCGUGCCAGCAGCCGCGGUAAUAC
rnacentral:rRNA from 1 species